UGGGGAAUUUUGGACAAUGGGGGAAACCCUGAUCCAGCCAUCCCGCGUGUGCGAUGAAGGCCUUCGGGUUGUAAAGCACUUUUGGCAGGAAAGAAACGUCAUGGGUUAAUACCCCGUGAAACUGACGGUACCUGCAGAAUAAGCUCCGGCUAACUACGUGCCAGCAGCCGCGGUAAUACGUAGGGUGCAAGCGUUAAUCGGAAUUACUGGGCGUAAAGCGUGCGCAGGCGGUUCGGAAAGAAAGAUGUGAAAUCCCAGAGCUCAACUUUGGAACUGCAUUUUUAACUACCGGGCUAGAGUGUGUCAGAGGGAGGUGGAAUUCCGCGUGUAGCAGUGAAAUGCGUAGAUAUGCGGAGGAACACCGAUGGCGAAGGCAGCCUCCUGGGAUAACACUGACGCUCAUGCACGAAAGCGUGGGGAGCAAACAGG
rnacentral:rRNA from 1 species